GUAGGUGGCAAGCGUUGUCCGGAAUUAUUGGGCGUAAAGCGCGCGCAGGCGGUUCUUUAAGUCUGAUGUGAAAGCCCACGGCUCAACCGUGGAGGGUCAUUGGAAACUGGAGAACUUGAGUACAGAAGAGGAAAGCGGAAUUCCACGUGUAGCGGUGAAAUGCGUAGAGAUGUGGAGGAACACCAGUGGCGAAGGCGGCUUUCUGGUCUGUAACUGACGCUGAGGCGCGAAAGCGUGGGGAGCUAACAGGAUUAGAUACCCUGGUAGUCCACGCCGUAAACGAUGAGUGCUAAGUGUUAAGGGGGGUUUUCGCCCCCCUUAGUGCUGCAGCUAACGCAUUAAGCACUCCGCCUGGGAGUACCGGCCGCAAGGCUG
rnacentral:rRNA from 1 species